UAGGGUGGUUUUAGCAGAGGGCUCACCUGUUCCCAUUCCGAACACAGAAGUUAAGCCCUCUAGCGCCGAUGGUACUGCUAACGCGGGAGAGUAGGUCGCCGCCAGUC
rnacentral:rRNA from 1 species